UACGGGGGGGGCAAGCGUUGUUCGGAAUUACUGGGCGUAAAGGGCUCGUAGGCGGCCAACUAAGUCAGACGUGAAAUCCCUCGGCUUAACCGGGGAACUGCGUCUGAUACUGGAUGGCUUGAGUGUGGGAGAGGAAUGCGGAAUUCCAGGUGUAGCGGUGAAAUGCGUAGAUAUCUGGAGGAACACCGGUGGCGAAGGCGGCUCACUGGCCCGAUACUGACGCUGAGGUGCGAAAGCGUGGGGAGCAAACAGG
rnacentral:rRNA from 1 species